GGGAGAGCCGGAGAGAAGAAGAAGAAGAAGACGACGUCGAAAAAAGAAAUAAGAUUCAAUCUUCAAGCGCCUUACAAAUGUUUGCGUCAGUUUUCUUGUUUAAAGCAGAAGCCACUGAGAGGAAGAGCACUUGAGCGUGCCCUUUACCGUUGUCAAUUUUCACCCCCUCCUCCUCGCCAGCAGCACUGUGUCCUUUCCAUGCCAUUGUCUCGCUGUUUUGCAAAUGAAUGUAAUUAUCGGGAAAGUAAUAAGAGGCCCCUGCUCUGGAUGAAACUCAGAGAGAAAGUCUAAAUGUUCUCCUGGAAAAACCUUGACAGCAGCCCUGAACAGGUUGUCAACAAGACUGGCGUGCCAUCUUCAACCACAAGGGGCAGCAAAGUACACGGCAUCCAGAAAUCUCCUGCCCUUCUGUCCAGUCUCGCCUCUGAUGAUUAAGACAUCCUCCAUUCACAGGAGAACAGGCUCAUUUGAAUGCUAGCGGCCGGCUUGGAAGUCUUGGGUUCGAGCCUGAAUUGUAAAGCUAAGCCAGGAGAUUGGAGUGGAAUCUGGACCGGUCUGUCAUUCAGCCAGAAAACCGACUUCUUCCAGCAAUUCCCCUCAGACUCUCAGGCAGAUUAACAGCUCUAACCCCCCUCGCUUGACGCGGUUGUCUAACAGGCACGCUGAGGACACCCUACAGGAGGGCCUUCUCCACCCCCACUGCUGCUGACGUGCCGGGAUUGGUUAUCUCUGUCACAGUAUGUGAUUGCAACCUCUGGGUGACCCCUACGCAAUAUAUAUCGUCACAGGUUAUCUACAUAAUGCAGGGGGAGAGGGUGAGAAAGCUAUCAGUGAGAUAGCGUGGAGCAAUCAGACCUUUCCUGUAGACAAUGACGGCCGUUGUAUGACUGGAAAUGUCGCUGAGGUGACAGCAAAUGAUUCAGAGCGCGCACACCGCAGAUGACCCGCUUGCGUGACUCUACAUCUUCUGAUUGACAAGCGCACGAGCAUGUUUGUCACGGACAUACCAAGGGUAUAGCCGCGGUAUAGUCACCUGCUAGCUCUUCUGAGGUAGCGCUUCUCUGUUGAAUGAAGCCAUGAUGGCAGAUUAAAGCAAGCCAUUGAUCAUCUCCCACCGCAAAUGAUGCAUAAUCCCUCUCGUAAUGUGUCUUUCAUAAUCAUCAUGACAGGUCCCAGGAAUGCAUGCAAAUAAAAAGCAAGCCAGGGAAGGAGUAAACCGAUGAACGAGUUUUUAAGAAGCAGGCUAUUACGAGACAUUCGCCUUCUUUUUAUGAUAUCAAACGAUCAAUUAUCCAGAUGGCUGGAAGAGGGAGCGUCACGACACAACUGCUUUGCAUUGUUUUUUUAAACUCGGUUUCUACCAUAGCUGUGGCAAUAAACAGAUGUUGGCUUUGUUUUGCUUUCAAAGGCAGGUAUUCCACCACACCACAGUUCCCUGACCAGCUACUGAGCAGCUGAGACUGGCAUCUGCUGCUGCGUUUGAGCAGGAGGGACUCGCUGCUGGCAGGUUGCUGUUAACUUGGCAAUAAAGGAAAGUCCGGGAAUAUGAAGAACUAUGAUGCGCUUGAUGUGUUUCGAUCAUUCUGUCUCAUCAGGACGUUUGUUUUUAUGGUCAUGAUUUUGGAGACUAGCAGCAUGGCUGGAGUAAGUGUUGCUGCGGGUGAGAAAACCACCAUCACCCUUAUGCUCAAUCUUAGCAUUUCAUUUUCCAAACAAGCUUUUGGUUGUCUGAUUGUGCUCAUAUUCAAGAUAAUAUUAACUUUUUAGAAAUGUUUAGAUGAAAACUCGAGCUGCAUGGUUGGCUUUGCACAUGGAAGGAGACUUGUUGUGCUCUGAAUAUUUUGGAAAUGUAGUUGCUGUUUUAUGAAUCAAAUAACUAUCUUACCAUGAACAAAAAUGUAAAUCUUCAUCUAAUAAUAUAUUGAUACUGUUAAAAAUGAUCAUUGUUCUGUAAAUUAGAAUUGUGCAUCUUUUAAUUUGUAGCAUUUAAAUAUAUACAUAAUUAUUUUUUUUUGUUUAUUAAUAUAAUACCUAACAUUAACAAACAAUGAGCAAUGUUUGUUACAGUAUUAACUCAUGUUAUUUGUAACUCAUUAACUCAUGCACUUCAUUUUUAGUUCUUGU